CCUACGGGAGGCAGCAGUGGGGGAUAUUGCACAAUGGGGGGAACCCUGAUGCAGCGACGCCGCGUGGGUGAAGAAGCGCCUCGGCGCGUAAAGCCCUGUCAGCAGGGAAGAAAAUGACGGUACCUGAAGCAGAAGCCCCGGCCAACUACGUGACAGCAGCCGCGGUAAUACGGAGGGGGCAAGCGUUAUCCGGAUUUACUGGGUGUAAAGGGGGCGCAGACGGCGAUGCAAGCCAGGAGUGAAAGCCCGGGGCCCAACCCCGGGACUGCUCUUGGAACUGGGUGGCUGGAGUGCAGGAGGGGCAGGCGGAAUUCCUGGUGUAGCGGUGAAAUGCGUAGAUAUCAGGAAGAACACCGAUGGCGAAGGCGGCCUGCUAGACUGCAACUGACGUUGAGGCCCGAAAGCGUGGGGAGCAAACAGGAUUAGAUACCCUUGUAGUC
rnacentral:rRNA from 1 species